GCUCCAGUGGCGCAAUCCGUUAGCGCACGGUACUUAUAAUGCCGAGGUUGUGAGUUCGAGCCUCACCUGGAGCA